AAUCAUAAACUCCUAUAAUUUACAAGCCAUUUUAAUAUUUUUGCGAUUGUGUGUACAGGAUAAGUUUUUACAAAUAGAAAGACUAGCAUUCCUUUGGUCCACACAUAAAUUUUUUAUGGGAGGCUAUAUCGCUGAAGGGAAAUGAGUUUAGCUGUCCUUUCAUGGUCUCAAACAAAACACGGCGGUCACCACCUCGUAAUACAUCACUAAUAAAUUUAAAUGAUCAAAUAAUGAUUAAUGGGUCUCACGGAUCUUUAAGCGAAUAUAUAACCUCUAGAAAUCUAAUAUCAACCUCAGUUUUUUCGUGGCGAGGCCCGUUUGAAACGGAUGAGGAAAACCUGUUAUUGGCGGGAUAACCAUAAAUAUCGCGCUGGCCUAAAUAUCCAGAUGUAUUAUUGCGGUCCUCCAAGGAUGGCGGUUGGGCUUGGGGCUAACAACCCAAUCCUGUGAAAAAAAUAUUGUUACGAAUCCAACACUACAGCCUCGGAUAUCAGAAUGAAGUUUACGGCACCGAACCAGCCAAUGUAAUAGGUUUAGAGAUUUAUUUAUCGGAACAUGGAAUGAACAUGGAACUUUACAUAGCCCAGGAACGCUAAAAGGAACCUUUUGCGAAAGAAGAGGAAUACCUUCAAACUGUUACUAUUUAACAUACUACACGAAGAACUAAUUAUUUUGGAAACGGCGUCUGGUUUGAUCACAGCUAGCACAACAUUUCCGCAUAAAAAUAUACACAAAAGAAUAUGGACAUCACCAAAAGAAUUAACACAAUCAAAUCGAUCACGUCAUGAUCUUAAGGAGGCAUAUCCAUUGGAUAUUGGAUGUAAGUCUCAGGGGAGAAGAUAUCAACUCAGACCACUAUCUUGUACGAAAUAAAUGAGAAUGGAGACUCUGUGCUGGAAGCUCUGCAAGAGCGAGGCCAAUGAGAAAUUUGACACUGUGAAGCUAAAAAAUUAACAUGAGAGUGCAUCGUACCAAAAAAUCUUGACCGAAAAACUAGAAACAGAGACAGCAUAAACGAAAACAAGUGGAGGAAAUAGUAGAAAUCGGUUAUUCUAGAGAACUAUAUAUAACAGAAUUUGGUUAUGGCACCGGUCCUUUAAUCGAAGGGUCUCGGGUUCAAACCCCGGUCAGGUCACUAUAAAAAUUAUAUUCAAUAUUAUUAUAACUUAAUAUACAAUACUAAUAAAAAUAUUAUACAAGUAAUUUUCAAAUAUUCCUAAUAUUCGAUAUUAAAAAAAAAAAAAAAAAAAAAAAAAAAAAA